GACGAACGCUGGCGGCGUGCCUAAUACAUGCAAGUCGAACGCAGUGGGGACGGGUGAGUAACACGUGGGUAACCUCCCAUCAGAGGGGAUAACCCUUGGAAAAAGGUGCUAAACUGAUACUGAUGGAUGGACCCGCGGUGCAUUAGCUAGUUGGUGAGGUAACGGCGCACCAAGGCCACGAUGCAUAGCCGGCCUGAGAGGGUGAUCGGCCACACUGGGACUGAGACACGGCCCAGACUCCUACGGGAGGCAGCAGUAGGGAAUCUUGGGCAAUGGACGAAAGUCUGAUGCAGCAACGCCGCGUGAAUGAAGAAGGUUUUCGGAUUGUAAAGUUCUGUUGGUAGGGAGGCGGUAUCGAACCAGAAAGCCACGGCUAACUACGUGCCAGCAGCCGCGGUAAUUC
rnacentral:rRNA from 1 species